UGUCAGUCAGAAAAUUGAAAUGCAGUUUUUUCAUGCAUGCAUAGACAUUGUUUCUUCAAGGGGCUGGAAAUGGAGUAAUCAAACCAAAAUAUAUACUGCAAUAUAUAGGAAGUUUAUUCGAUCAAAAUACAGGCGAUCGAUCAGGUAAUCAAUCAACCCUUAUUUAGUACUAUACAAAAGGGCCUAUUCAUAAAUAAAUAAAACUCCGCCAUCCACCGUACGUAGAAAAACACCCCCAGUACUCCUCUGACAGAAUACGUAGAAAAACACCCCCAGUACUCCUCUGACAGAAUCAUGAAUUAAAGAAAUUUGUACAAAGCAGUCGUAACCAUAUGUUGAGCAAUUAUAUGGUUUGUUUUCUCAGUGGGGUGAAAGGCGUCCCAAAACACGAACUUGUUUGCAUCCUUGCAAGUUAAUGGAUUGAACCGGUCACACGCAUAGCCCAUCUCAAACGUUCCGGUGGCGCAACAUGCCAUUGCUGCUUCAGAAAAUUC